rnacentral:lncRNA from 1 species
UGAACUUUCUAAAAACUGCCAAAUCAAUGUUUUUGAGGCAGAAAAGUUAUAUAAAAGUAAAUAUCUCUGAAGCAAAGAUUGUAUUUUGUUUCAAUCUGUAAUAUAUGUGCACGAAAUAAUGUUUUUUUUCACCUUUAUUUACGAUUACGAAAGCGUGUUGAUCGCAACGUUCGGGAAAAUGGGCCGUUUUUUAGCAGCACUAAGCAUAUUUCGUCUGUUAUCGCUUUAAACCUUGCCAUCAGAAAUACACCAGAGAUGACUAAAAUGAAAGUCUUUUAGCUCAUUAAGAUUUUUAUGUAGGUAUAAAGCUUCAAUUCAACCAUUAACUACCGUAAAUUUUCGAUUUUUUCAGAAUUACGAACAGUAUGUUAUAUUUCCUGAUCUUCCCGAAGCUUAUACUUAGUUCAUUCGAUUGUAUGAAAGUUUUUCUUUUAGAAACCGGUCUUUAACUGCCAAAAAUUUUUAAAAGACAAAAGCGAUUUCUGUUUAAAGUAACGAAUGUCACUCUAAAAAUAUGAACGUUUUCGCUUUUAACGUCGUCCUGAUGCAAACGUAAAAGUUGAAAUAAAAAUUACACGCUGAGAUUACAAUAUGAUCCAAUAUCGAUUUGUUUACGAUAGCUAGGCAACCAACAGGCAAAAUAAAUCUUGCUUCCCCGAUCAAGACUAUUUAUAGACACGG